rnacentral:rRNA from 1 species
UACAGAGGGUGCUAGCGUUGUUCGGAAUCAUUGGGCGUAAAGGGCGUGUAGGCGGUUUGUUAAGUCAUGUGUGAAAUCCCUCGGCUCAACCGGGGAACGACGCAUGAAACUGGCAAGCUAGAGUACCAAAGAGGAGUGUGGAAUUCCUGGUGUAGCGGUGAAAUGCGCAGAUAUCAGGAGGAACACCAAUGGCGAAGGCAGCACUCUGGGACGUGACUGACGCUGAGACGCGAAAGCGUGGGGAGCAAACAGG